CCUACGGGUUGCAGCAGUGGGGAAUAUUGCACAAUGGGCGCAAGUCUGAUGCAGCCAUGCCGCGUGUAUGAAGAAGGCCUUCGGGUUGUAAAGUACUUUCAGCGGGGAGGAAGGCGAUGAGGUUAAUAACCUUGUCGAUUGACGUUACCCGCAGAAGGAGCACCGGCUAACUCCGUGUCAGCAGCCGCGGUAAUACGGAGGGUGCAAGCGUUAAUCGGAAUUACUGGGCGUAAGGCGCACGCAGGCGGUCUGUCAAGUCGGAUGUGAAAUCCCCGGGCUCAACCUGGGAACUGCAUUCGAAACUGGCGGGCUGGAGUCUUGUAGAGGGGGGUAGAAUUCCAGGUGUAGCGGUGAAAUGCGUAGAGAUCUGGAGGAAUACCGGUGGCGAAGGCGGCCCCCUGGACAAAGACUGACGCUCAGGUGCGAAAGCGUGGGGAGCAAACAGGAUUAGAUACCCCCGUAGUC
rnacentral:rRNA from 1 species